UGAUGGGAGCUGUGUGUUUGUUGUGUCUCGCGGGUUUCACAGUGGACAUGGAAAGUCGACGUAUAUGUAAAGCGACUGAAAGAACGGGAAACAGGACUAAGAAUCUCCAGAU